rnacentral:lncRNA from 1 species
GGGUAUUUGUCAGCGAACAAUCGUAUUCUGACGUCAUUUGCUCCUGGACUUCGACGAAAGAAGGUACUGCGCUCUCGGCGAAAAAAAUUGAACCACAAGCAUAGAUUUUCUACCAACGAACGAGUAUAAAUACCAAUCAAAUACCAUAAAAAUGUCGACGAACCUCUGAGGAAGACGUUUCGAAGAAAUUUUGAAGAAAACGACGAAGAAAUGGCAGUAAAAUUGACACAAAAAAAUCGGCUUGGUCGAAGGACUUCCAAAUCAAGAUGGCGUCGCCUUCUUCUCCAAUCUGUAAAAUGGACCCAAAAUCAUUUUAGACGGAUUGGACAUCAGCUGUAUAGGAUAUUUAUUACAGACGUAAGUUCUCCUAUAAUUUUUCAAGUAUGGAAAAGUAUAACAUUUUAUUUACGAAAAUUAAUAUUUUUUAGUAAAAAUUUCUACCUGAUUAUUCUUUAAGCAGUGAACAUUUGGUGGUCGCAAUACCCCUAGACUACAAUGAAUUAUUUUUAAGUCAAAAGCAUAAAUGGUAUGGACGUCAUCUUAGAAAAACUAGGCUCAAAAUAGGAAAUCUUCCCUUUCCGAAAACCUGUCCAACACCCCCCAACCUGACCAACACCCCCUCCCCCCAUUUUUAAAUCUCCUAAAUAUAAUCCUGUUGGAUAAAAAUUCACCCCCCCCCAAAAAAAAAAUUAUAUUACAGGGCCCCCUGCAAAAUACAGCUUUAAUUGACCCGUAGAAUGUAUUUUUCUAAUUUCCUGUAGUGAAUCUAUCAAAGCCAAGAUAAAGCAUGGCUAAACAAACUGAACAGCAGAAGAUG